rnacentral:rRNA from 1 species
UACGAAGGGGGCUAGCGUUGCUCGGAAUCACUGGGCGUAAAGCGCACGUAGGCGGAUUGCUAAGUCAGGGGUGAAAUCCUGGAGCUCAACUCCAGAACUGCCUUUGAUACUGGUGAUCUUGAGUCCGGGAGAGGUGAGUGGAACUGCGAGUGUAGAGGUGAAAUUCGUAGAUAUUCGCAAGAACACCAGUGGCGAAGGCGGCUCACUGGCCCGAUACUGACGCUGAGGCACGAAAGCGUGGG